GAUAAAUGACGUAAAGUGACGUCAAAAAUAGUGAUGUAGAAAAUGAGGUAGCGUUAGGAAGCAACUAGAAGCAGAAAAACGUUAAGAAGCAUCUAGAUUCUAGAAGAAGGACGUUAGAGGGCAAAUAGAAGAAGACGAUGUUAGAGAUUUGAUAGAAAAGGAAGAACGUUAGCGAGUGGAAGAAGAAGGAGGUUAGAGAGCCGAUAGAAGACGGAGUGAGAAGAGAGCCUUCGCCAAGACAAUGCGCCUCGCGAGUGAGUAAAAGAUUGAGUGUGAUAGUCAAAGAAAAAGACGUUGUGUUAGUGACUGUAUUUUUCUAGUCAGGAUUUGUUCUUUUGAGUUUUUGUUUAGUUAACAAGGGAAAACUCGUACAGGCGAAUCUUUUUUUUUUUUUUUCUGAGAGAAAGAACGCGCAAUUUUGCGACCCGCUGGUGUGUUGGAGAGAGUGAAAAACGAAAGGCACUGGCGGCGUCGUGACAGUUUUAAAGAAAAAUUCAAAUUUUAAAAAUGUUUAAAGCCCAAGGGCACAUCACUCUUAUGUGCGGCGAUGGGACAAACGAUGUCGGUGCGCUCAAACACGCUUAUGUUGGGUAGUAUUACAAAGACUGUUGGACAUUUCAUUUUUGGUGGUGUGAGACUUAUUUUACUUACUUGAUAAAUAAGACUUAAAUUUAAUUUUCUUUAAAUAAAUUGUGAAUUGUUUUAAGAGUAUGCACAAAGCAUUGGUGUGUCCUCCAGCAAAAUAUGUGCUGCAUCUUUCUUUUGUGUUCUAGGUGUGGCCUUGUUAGCUAAUGCCCCAGAGAGACUGCCCAGAAAAAGAAAUAUUGGAAAGAGGAGAACAAGUUGGCAGCCAUUUUGAAGAUUGAGGAAGAGGAGAAGGCACAAGUCAUUAGGCUAGGAGAUGCCAGUGUAGCCUCCCCUUUUACCUACAAUUUGUCAACAGUCAUGAGUGAACAAGUUGGCAGCCAUUUUGAAGAUUGAGGAAGAGGAGAAGGCACAAGUCAUUAGGCUAGGAGAUGCCAGUGUAGCCUCCCCUUUUACCUACAAUUUGUCAACAGUCAUGAGUGGUGAGUAAAUCUGAGCUGCUUUAUUUUUUUUUUUUUAUCAGGGAUUUACUUCUCUUGAUGGAGCCGCUCAGGGCAUCCACAUUGAUAACUUUGUUGCUGACAGUGGAUGGCCAGAUGGCUACCACACAUGUUUCCGCUAGAGUAACUUUUUACACAUGUUAAUAGAUUAAUGGCCUCUGUAAUUACUUGUGUACUUUCAGAACAAGUUGGCAGCCAUUUUGAAGAUUGAGGAAGAGGAGAAGGCACAAGUCAUUAGGCUAGGAGAUGCCAGUGUAGCCUCCCCUUUUACCUACAAUUUGUCAACAGUCAUGAGUGGUGAGUAAAUCUGAGCUGCUUUAUUUUUUUUUUUUUAUCAGGGAUUUACUUCUCUUGAUGGAGCCGCUCAGGGCAUCCACAUUGAUAACUUUGUUGCUGACAGUGGAUGGCCAGAUGGCUACCACACAUGUUUCCGCUAGAGUAACUUUUUACACAUGUUAAUAGAUUAAUGGCCUCUGUAAUUACUUGUGUACUUUCAGAACAAGUUGGCAGCCAUUUUGAAGAUUGAGGAAGAGGAGAAGGCACAAGUCAUUAGGCUAGGAGAUGCCAGUGUAGCCUCCCCUUUUACCUACAAUUUGUCAACAGUCAUGAGUGAACAAGUUGGCAGCCAUUUUGAAGAUUGAGGAAGAGGAGAAGGCACAAGUCAUUAGGCUAGGAGAUGCCAGUGUAGCCUCCCCUUUUACCUACAAUUUGUCAACAGUCAUGAGUGGUGAGUAAAUCUGAGCUGCUUUAUCUUUUUUUUUUAUCAGGGAUUUACUUCUCUUGAUGGAGCCGCUCAGGGCAUCCACAUUGAUAACUUUGUUGCUGACAGUGGAUGGCCAGAUGGCUACCACACGUUUCCGCUAGAGUAACUUUUUACACAUGCAUGCUCACACAUGCCUAUAUACACACGGUCUUCUGAACCAUUAGUAAUUUGAGGAAUUUGAUCUAGCUUUAAACUAGAAAAACAGAAAUGAAAAAAAAACCCAAGGUAUUUAUUGCCCUUUGCACAGUCAGUAUUUAGUCUAGUGUGUGGGCAUCAUUGACACCAGAAACCUUCCUCUUUUGUCUACAGUUUGUGAUAUCAUCAAGCAGGAUCUCUGUACCCUGGUUACCACAUUUAAAUUGUUUAAGAUCCUGGCCCUCAGUGCUUUGAUCCUUGCUUCAGCCAGAGUGUCCAUUAUCGGGAUGAUAUUAAGUUUUCAGACGCACAUGCGACCUUGCAGGGUCUAGUGUUGGCUGGCAAAGACAAUAUUUCAGAUAAUGUACCAUUUUUCAGGUGCCAGAGAAAAACUCAGAUUUACUUUACAAACAGUAGUUCUUCACACAGGUAUUCAUAGUUUAACCCAUCUGUAUAAAGUCCUUUUAUGUCCUGGGACUUUCGCCCUCACACCCAGUCACACGCGUACACAGUGACAAACACACUCAACCAACAAGACAGUUGUCAAACGUAUAAAUUUAACUAUUAAAACAAAGUCAAAACUCUUUAACAAUAAAAACAAUUAAAACAGCCUCGGUGCCUGCAAAGAAAAGUUUGAUUUUAAUCAAUGUUUUGAAUAAAAAACGUAAAAGUUUUGAAAAAAACUAUUGUGUUUUAUAAACAAGAGACAGUAAUCUAAUCCAUGCCUUAAGAACUUUCGGUUAUCUCAAGAGGUCUAGGAGAUAUAACCAGUCAAACAUGCUACCCACCUGUCGACUAAGCAAUAGUAUUUUUUGCUCUCUUUAAAUGUCAAUGGACAAAUUAAUGUUCUACCAGGUUACCCUUAUGACAACCGAUAGUUU